UUCGCAAUGCCCGAAAGGGUGACGAAGCGACGCCGCGUGGGUGAGGAAGGCCCUCGGGUUGUAAAGCCCUGUCAGGAGUUAAGAAAUGUAGAUACGCUAAUAUCGUAUCUAUUUGACAAAGGCUCCAAAGGAAGCCACGGCUAACUCUGUGCCAGCAGCCGCGGUAAUACAGAGGUGGCAAGCGUUGUUCGGUAUUAUUGGGCGUAAAGAGCACGUAGGUGGUUUUGUAAGUCAGAUGUGAAAGCCUUCUGUUCAAAGGAAGAACGGCAUCUGAAACUGCGAAUCUUGAGUGUAGGAGGGGAGAGUGGAACUUCUGGUGGAGCGGUGAAAUGCGUAGAUAUCAGAAGGAACGUCGGCGGCGAAAGCGACUCUCUGGCCUAUUACUGACACUGAGUGUGCGAAAGUUAGGGGAGCAAACGGGAUUAGAUACCCCGGUAGUCCUAACUGUAAACGAUGGGCACUAAGUAGAGGGGUUUU
rnacentral:rRNA from 2 species